rnacentral:rRNA from 1 species
ACCGAUAGUGAACCAGUACCGUGAGGGAAAGGCGAAAAGAACCCCGGCGAGGGGAGUGAAAAAGAACCUGAAACCGUGUACGUACAAGCAGUGGGAGCACAGAGCAAUCUGUGUGACUGCGUACCUUUUGUAUAAUGGGUCAGCGACUUAUAUUCUGUAGCAAGGUUAACCGAAUAGGGGAGCCGAAGGGAAACCGAGUCUUAACUGGGCGUUAAGUUGCAGGGUAUAGACCCGAAACCCGGUGAUCUAGCCAUGGGCAGGUUGAAGGUUGGGUAACACUAACUGGAGGACCGAACCGACUAAUGUUGAAAAAUUAGCGGAUGACUUGUGGCUGGGGGUGAAAGGCCAAUCAAACCGGGAGAUAGCUGGUUCUCCCCGAAAGCUAUUUAGGUAGCGCCUCGUGAAUUCAUCUCCGGGGGUAGAGCACUGUUUCGGCAAGGGGGUCAUCCCGACUUACCAACCCGAUGCAAACUGCGAAUACCGGAGAAUGUUAUCACGGGAGACACACGGCGGGUGCUAACGUCCGUCGUGAAGAGGGAAACAACCCAGACCGCCAGCUAAGGUCCCAAAGUCAUGGUUAAGUGGGAAACGAUGUGGGAAGGCCCAGACAGCCAGGAUGUUGGCUUAGAAGCAGCCAUCAUUUAAAGAAAGCGUAAUAGCUCACUGGUCGAGUCGGCCUGCGCGGAAGAUGUAACGGGGCUAAACCAUGCACCGAAGCUGCGGCAGCGACACUGUGUGUUGUUGGGUAGGGGAGCGU